rnacentral:rRNA from 1 species
CUCGGAGGGAUCAUUACACAAUAUGAAAGCGGGCUGGACUCCCCCCAGCAGUGCGUUGCUUUGCGGCGUGCGCUGUUGGGGCCAGCCUUGCUGAAUUAUUCACCCGUGUCUUUUGCGUACUUCUUGUUUCCUUGGUGGGUUCGCCCACCACAAGGACAAACCAUAAACCUUUUGUAAUUGCAAUCAGCGUCAGUAACAAUAAUAAUAAUUACAACUUUCAACAACGGAUCUCUUGGUUCUGGCAUCGAUGAAGAACGCAGCGAAAUGCGAUAAGUAGUGUGAAUUGCAGAAUUCAGUGAAUCAUCGAAUCUUUGAACGCACAUUGCGCCCUUUGGUAUUCCAAAGGGCAUGCCUGUUCGAGCGUCAUUUGUACCCUCAAGCUUUGCUUGGUGUUGGGCGUCUUGUCUCCAGUUCGCUGGGGACUCGCCUUAAAGUUAUUGGCAGCCGGCCUACUGGUUUCGGAGCGCAGCACAAGUCGCGCUCUCUUCCAGCCAAGGUCAGCAUCCACAAAGCCUUUUUUCAACUUUUGACCUCGGAUCAGGUAGGGAUACCCGCUGAACUUAAGCAUU